rnacentral:rRNA from 1 species
UACAGAGGGUGCGAGCGUUAAUCGGAAUUACUGGGCGUAAAGCGUGCGUAGACGGCUAUCUAAGUCGGGUGUGAAAGCCCCGGGCUCAACCUGGGAAUUGCAUUCGAGACUGAAUAGCUAGGGUACGGUAGAGGGAAGUGGAAUUUCCGGUGUAGCGGUGAAAUUCGUAGAUAUUCGCAAGAACACCAGUGGCGAAGGCGGCUCACUGGCCCGAUACUGACGCUGAGGCACGAAAGCGUGGGGAGCAAACAGG